CAGCCGUCGCCGCAACCCCGGCCCGAGCCGCGAGCCACCAAGCUCCAAGUUCUCAGAAGCCCGGAGCGGGCUGCUGCGCCUUCCGGACCCCGGGGGCGUGACGCGCCGCGGGCAGCCCGGCCUUACGGGGUAGGUGGAGGAGGUCCGCGUCCCCGGCGGGCAGCCCCGACCCUGAGUGCUCCCGGAUCCCUGCUUCCUGGUUGCCAGGUUGGAGGUGCGUUUCGGGCUGGGGGCUGCUCUGAGUGAGAGGCUGGACAAAAAGAAAGGAUUCCUGGGCCGCCGCCAGCGAACACCUGAGGCGUGGCAGACAGACCCAGAGAGAGUUGGCAAGCCGGGAGGGUGCGGAAGAUCAGCAGGCGGAAGAUCAUCAGCGGAGAGCCUACCUCCCACCCUAAGCGGUGGUCUGGAGCCCCUGACCUUUGAGGGCGGUGGCUAGAGCCCUGGUCAGAGGCGGGCACAUGAUGGGAGGGCAAUGAUAAUGAUGGAAAUCCCGUACUCCUCCUUCCUCGGAGAGGUGUGUCACUGCACAAAGAUCAGGAAAGAGUACAUAGAUUAGAGGCGUGAACCACUGCGUUGGCCUUUUCUUCUUGUAUUGCCUUCCUGAUUUCCUCCACCAGUAGCAGGCUCCUUCUGAACGACCAGUGAAGAGAUCCACCAACAGCUCCAACUUCCCAGGUUCACAGCCUUGGCAGAGCAAAGAUUUUCCCUACCAGCAUCUUCAAGUCAAUCUCCAGGAAGAUGUGUGUCUUCCAGGACACAUGAGACAGGUCUAAGGUCUCUGUAAAAGAGGAUUGUCUACUAACCCAAGCCUUGCCUGUAUAACAGUUUUUCUCCAGAUCUGGCCCCGAUGCAGAAGGAAGGCAGGGGAUCAGGAAUCCCUUGAUGUCUGUGAUUCCCACCCAGAUCACUACAUGUAUAUAAAGUAAUAAAGCAACCAGUGCAACUCA